rnacentral:rRNA from 1 species
CAGCAGCCACGGUAAAACGUAGGUGGCAAGCGUUGUCCGGAAUUAUUGGGCGUAAAGGGCUCGCAGGCGGUUUCUUAAGUCUGAUGUGAAAGCCCCCGGCUCAACCGGGGAGGGUCAUUGGAAACUGGGAAACUUGAGUGCAGAAGAGGAGAGUGGAAUUCCACGUGUAGCGGUGAAGUGCGUAGAGAUGUGGAGGAACACCAGUGGCGAAGGCGACUCUCUGGUCUGUAACUGACGCUGAGGAGCGAAAGCGUGGGGAGCGAACAGGAUUAGAUACCCCAGUAGUCCCUGUCUCUUAUAC